UACGGAGGGUGCAAGCGUUAAUCGGAAUUACUGGGCGUAAAGCGCACGCAGGUGGCUGAGUCAGUCGAUUGUGAAAGCCCUGGGCUUAACCUGGGAAUUGCAGUCGAUACUACUUAGCUAGAGUAUGGGAGAGGGCAGUGGAAUUCCCGGUGUAGCGGUGAAAUGCGUAGAUAUCGGGAGGAACAUCAGUGGCGAAGGCGGCUGCCUGACCCAAUACUGACACUCAGGUGCGACAGCGUGGGGAGCAAACAGG
rnacentral:rRNA from 1 species